AUGACAAUUAUUAUAAUGUGUAUGAUUUAUAUUAUAGCUGACAGUUCAACUUUAGUCAGUUCAAGCAGCCAAGAUGACUCUUUUAUCAUUUUCAAGAUAUAACUUACACUUUGGUAAUUGUGGUCUUCCUCACACCGAAAUACUGAUUUAUAUCUUUAACUGACCGGCGGCAUCAACAAUGUGUUAGUGUAUAAUUAUUUUUUUUUAGUUCAGUUUAUUACGAACUACUAGUGGUAGGUCAAUGUUAUUUGGUAUGCAGUUGAAUAAUUACAUAUAAGUAUUGGCACAUCUCUUUUCCCAUGAGAUUGUUUCGCCCUGUACCAUCUGUCAUGGUUCAUUUACUUUGAAUAUCAGUAAAUUCAUCAACAAUGUGUUAGUGUAUAAUUAUUUUUUUUUAGUUCAGUUUAUUAC
rnacentral:lncRNA from 1 species